rnacentral:rRNA from 1 species
CUUGGUGGUACUUGCGGAGUAGUCACACCUGUUCCCAUCUCGAACACAGAAGUUAAGCACUCCCGCGCCGAUGAUACCCUGCCUCGUGUAGGGAAAAGUAGGUCACCGCCAGGA